rnacentral:rRNA from 1 species
UACAGAGGAUGCAAGCGUUAUCCGGAAUGAUUGGGCGUAAAGCGUCUGUAGGUGGCUUUUUAAGUCCGCCAUCAAAUCCCAGGGCUCAACUCUGGACAGGCGGUGGAAACUACCAAGCUCGAGUACGGUAGGGGCAGAGGGAAUUUUCAGUGGAGCGGUGAAAUGCGUAGAGAUCGGAAAGAACACCAACGGCGAAAGCACUCUGCUGGGCCGACACUGACACUGAGAGACGAAAGCUAGGGGAGCGAAUGGG